GCUGGCGGCGUGCCUAAUACAUGCAAGUAGAACGCUGAAGAGAGGAGCUUGCUCUUCUUGGAUGAGUUGCGAACGGGUGAGUAACGCGUAGGUAACCUGCCUUGUAGCGGGGGAUAACUAUUGGAAACGAUAGCUAAUACCGCAUAACAAUGGAUGACACAUGUCAUUUAUUUGAAAGGGGCAAUUGCUCCACUACAAGAUGGACCUGCGUUGUAUUAGCUAGUAGGUGAGGUAAUGGCUCACCUAGGCGACGAUACAUAGCCGACCUGAGAGGGUGAUCGGCCACACUGGGACUGAGACACGGCCCAGACUCCUACGGGAGGCAGCAGUAGGGAAUCUUCGGCAAUGGGGGCAACCCUGACCGAGCAACGCCGCGUGAGUGAAGAAGGUUUUCGGAUCGUAAAGCUCUGUUGUAAGUCAAGAACGGGUGUGAGAGUGGAAAGUUCACACUGUGACGGUAGCUUACCAGAAAGGGACGGCUAACUACGUGCCAGCAGCCGCGGUAAUACGUAGGUCCCGAGCGUUGUCCGGAUUUAUUGGGCGUAAAGCGAGCGCAGGCGGUUUGAUAAGUCUGAAGUUAAAGGCUGUGGCUCAACCAUAGUUCGCUUUGGAAACUGUCAAACUUGAGUGCAGAAGGGGAGAGUGGAAUUCCAUGUGUAGCGGUGAAAUGCGUAGAUAUAUGGAGGAACACCGGUGGCGAAAGCGGCUCUCUGGUCUGUAACUGACGCUGAGGCUCGAAAGCGUGGGGAGCGAACAGGAUUAGAUACCCUGGUAGUCCACGCCGUAAACGAUGAGUGCUAGGUGUUGGAUCCUUUCCGGGAUUCAGUGCCGCAGCUAACGCAUUAAGCACUCCGCCUGGGGAGUACGACCGCAAGGUUGAAACUCAAAGGAAUUGACGGGGGCCCGCACAAGCGGUGGAGCAUGUGGUUUAAUUCGAAGCAACGCGAAGAACCUUACCAGGUCUUGACAUCCCGAUGCUAUUUCUAGAGAUAGAAAGUUACUUCGGUACAUCGGUGACAGGUGGUGCAUGGUUGUCGUCAGCUCGUGUCGUGAGAUGUUGGGUUAAGUCCCGCAACGAGCGCAACCCCUAUUGUUAGUUGCCAUCAUUCAGUUGGGCACUCUAGCGAGACUGCCGGUAAUAAACCGGAGGAAGGUGGGGAUGACGUCAAAUCAUCAUGCCCCUUAUGACCUGGGCUACACACGUGCUACAAUGGUUGGUACAACGAGUUGCGAGUCGGUGACGGCGAGCUAAUCUCUUAAAGCCAAUCUCAGUUCGGAUUGUAGGCUGCAACUCGCCUACAUGAAGUCGGAAUCGCUAGUAAUCGCGGAUCAGCACGCCGCGGUGAAUACGUUCCCGGGCCUUGUACACACCGCCCGUCACACCACGAGAGUUUGUAACACCCGAAGUCGGUGAGGUAACCUUUUGGAGCCAGCCGCCUAAGGUGGGACAGAUGAUUGGGGUGAA
rnacentral:rRNA from 1 species